UGAGCCUCAAGCAAGGGACUUC
rnacentral:miRNA from 1 species